rnacentral:tRNA from 1 species
CAGUAAGUAUUUUAAUAAUAAAAUAUUAGUUUUGGAUACUAAAGAUGAUUUUUUCCUUACUGA